AUUGAACGCUGGUGGCAUGCCUUACACAUGCAAGUCGAACGGCAGCACGGGAGCAAUCCUGGUGGCGAGUGGCGAACGGGUGAGUAAAGUAUCGGAACGUGCCCAGUCGUGGGGGAUAACGUAGCGAAAGUUACGCUAAUACCGCAUACGAUCUAUGAAUGAAAGCGGGGGAUCGCAAGACCUCGCGCGAUUGGAGCGGCCGAUAUCAGAUUAGGUAGUUGGUGGGGUAAAGGCUCACCAAGCCGACGGUCUGUAGCUGGUCUGAGAGGACGACCAGCCACACUGGGACUGAGACACGGCCCAGACUCCUACGGGAGGCAGCAGUGGGGAAUUUUGGACAAUGGGCGAAAGCCUGAUCCAGCCAUGCCGCGUGCAGGAUGAAGGCCUUCGGGUUGUAAACUGCUUUUGUACGGAACGAAAAGGUUUGGGCUAAUAAGCUGAGCUCAUGACGGUACCGUAAGAAUAAGCACCGGCUAACUACGUGCCAGCAGCCGCCGUAA
rnacentral:rRNA from 1 species